UACGGAGGGAGCUAGCGUUGUUCGGAAUUACUGGGCGUAAAGCGCGCGUAGGCGGCUUUGUAAGUUAGAGGUGAAAGCCCGGAGCUCAACUCCGGAACUGCCUUUAAGACUGCAUCGCUUGAAUCCAGGAGAGGUGAGUGGAAUUCCGAGUGUAGAGGUGAAAUUCGUAGAUAUUCGGAAGAACACCAGUGGCGAAGGCGGCUCACUGGACUGGUAUUGACGCUGAGGUGCGAAAGCGUGGGGAGCAAGCAGG
rnacentral:rRNA from 1 species